AUAAUACUCCAUAGAUUAGAGAUACUGGAAUGUUCUUUAGUCAAAAGUUCUGGCGCCUUAGGAUGGAUCUGCGGUCGAUUAGGUUGUUGUUGGGGUAACGGCCCAACAAGCCUGUAAUCGAUACGGGUUGUGGGAGCAAUAGCCCGGAGAUGGAAUCUGAGACAAGAUUCCAGGCCCUACGGGGCGCAGCAGGCGCGAAAACUUUACAAUGCAGGAAACUGUGAUAAGGGAACCCCGAGUGCCCGUAUACGCGGGCUGUCCAGGUGUUUAAAAGUCAUCUGAAGAAAGGGCCGGGCAAGACCGGUGCCAGCCGCCGCGGUAAUACCGGCGGCUCGAGUGGUGGCCACUAUUAUUGGGCUUAAAGCGUCCGUAGCUGGACUGAUAAGUCUCUUGGGAAAUCCGCCGGCUCAACCGGCGGGCGUCUAAGGGAUACUGUUGGUCUAGGGACCGGGAGAGGCGAGAGGUACUCCGGGGGUAGGAGUGAAAUCCUGUAAUCCCCGGGGGACCACCGAUGGCGAAGGCAUCUCACCAGAACGGCUCCGACAGUGAGGGACGAAAGCUGGGGGAGCAAACCGGAUUAGAUACCCGGGUAGUCCCAGCCGUAAACUAUGCGCGUUAGGUGU
rnacentral:rRNA from 1 species